AUAAAGAAGCAGACUUGCAGGGAAAGAAAUCUUGUCCCUCAGCACCUUUGGACCCUACAUGUGUAACAUGGGGAUAUCAGUCUAGUUUCAUGGCUCCGAUGGCCAAACGCACAUGAAAGGCUUAGAAGUGAUCCUGCAGCACUUGGCAGACAGUGGGGAAAGAAAUCUUCGGCAGUCCAGGUGGCAAGAUGGACUCGA